CCUACGGGAGGCAGCAGUGAGGAAUAUUGGUCAAUGGGCGCGAGCCUGAACCAGCCAAGUCGCGUGAGGGAAGACGGUCCUAUGGAUUGUAAACCUCUUUUGUCGGGGAGCAAAAGACGCCACGCGUGGCGUUCCGAGAGUACCCGAAGAAAAAGCAUCGGCUAACUCCGUGCCAGCAGCCGCGGUAAUACGGAGGGUGCGGGCGUUAUCCGGAUUUAUUGGGUUUAAAGGGUGCGCAGGCGGAAGAUCAAGUCAGCGGGAAAAUUGAGAGGCUCAACCUCUUCGAGCCAUUGAAACUGGUUUUCUUGAGUGAGUGAGAAGUAUGCGGAAUGCGUGGUGUAGCGGUGAAAUGCAUAGAUAUCACGAAGAACUCCGAUUGCGAAGGCAGCAUACCGGCGCUCAACUGACGCUCAUGCACGAAAGUGUGGGUAUCGAACAGGAUUAGAUACCCCAGUAGUC
rnacentral:rRNA from 1 species